rnacentral:rRNA from 1 species
GAUGAACGCUGGCGGCGUGCUUAACACAUGCAAGUCGAACGGGAAUUACUUUAUUGAAACUUCGGUCGAUUUAAUUUAAUUCUAGUGGCGGACGGGUGAGUAACGCGUGGGUAACCUGCCUUAUACAGGGGGAUAACAGUCAGAAAUGACUGCUAAUACCGCAUAAGCGCACAGAGCUGCAUGGCUCGGUGUGAAAAACUCCGGUGGUAUAAGAUGGACCCGCGUUGGAUUAGCUGGUUGGUGAGGUAACGGCCCACCAAGGCGACGAUCCAUAGCCGGCCUGAGAGGGUGAACGGCCACAUUGGGACUGAGACACGGCCCAGACUCCUACGGGAGGCAGCAGUGGGGAAUAUUGCACAAUGGGGGAAACCCUGAUGCAGCGACGCCGCGUGAAGGAAGAAGUAUCUCGGUAUGUAAACUUCUAUCAGCAGGGAAGAAAAUGACGGU